CGCACAUUCGUCAUUCUUCUCUGUUGUUCGGUUUCUCCAGAUCCAUCGAGAGAGAGCUCAGAUUUUUCCCCUUUCUCCGUCCUCGCUUUUUGACCGACGCCGGCGACUGUGAAUGAGGAGCCUUCCUUCCCCUCCUCCGCUGUGCUGCUGUGUAGGAACGUUGGAGUUCAUCAUUUUCCCCUGCUUUGCGUCGCUGGUGUUCGCUGCCAUGGAGGCUUUGUCAGUCUCUCGGUUGUUCUUCCUUCACCUCUGUUAGUUUCGUUCUAAGUGCUUCAAUAUCGUGCAGUGGGAAUGAUUUCUGUCGUGGUUGGAGGUCCGAUUUGCUGGUCCUCCCAUUUCCCCUGUGACGCUGUUCCUCUGUUUCUCACUGGUUCAAACGUUGCCAUCGGGUUGUGUGUGGCUGUGGGAAGCAUCAAACCUUUUCUAUUCUUCUAUCAUUGUUCUAUUGGUAAUGGAUAAGCAAUGGAGAACAUCUGGAAAAUGCUUUGGAGGUUGAAUGUACUAGAAAUGUAACAAUGUAGGAAUUUUUUU